rnacentral:rRNA from 1 species
CCUACGGGUGGCAGCAGUGAGGAAUAUUGGUCAAUGGACGAGAGUCUGAACCAGCCAAGUAGCGUGAAGGAUGACUGCCCUAUGGGUUGUAAACUUCUUUUAUAUGGGAAUAAAAUGUUCCACGUGUGGGAUUUUGUAUGUACCAUAUGAAUAAGGAUCGGCUAACCCCGUGCCAGCAGCCGCGGUAAUACGGAGGAUCCGAGCGGUAUCCGGAUUUAUUGGGUUUAAAGGGAGCGUAGGUGGAUUGUUAAGUCAGUUGUGAAAGUUUGCGGCUCAACCGUAAAAUUGCAGUUGAAACUGGCAGUCUGGAGUGCAGUAGAGGUGGGCGGAAUUCGUGGUGUAGCGGUGAAAUGCUUAGAUAUCACGAAGAACUCCGAUUGCGAAGGCAGCUCACUGGACUACAACUGACACUGAGGCGCGAAAGUGUGGGUAUCAAACAGGAUUAGAUACCCUUGUAGUC